rnacentral:rRNA from 1 species
UACGUAGGGUGCAAGCGUUAAUCGGAAUUACUGGGCGUAAAGCGCGCGUAGGUGGUUCAGUCAGUCAGAUGUGAAAUCCCCGGGCUCAACCUGGGAAUGGCGGUGGAUACUGGCGGACUAGAGUGCGGUAGAGGGUGGUGGAAUUUCCUGUGUAGCGGUGAAAUGCGUAGAUAUAGGAAGGAACACCAGUGGCGAAGGCGACCACCUGGACUGAUACUGACACUGAGGUGCGAAAGCGUGGGGAGCAAACAGG